rnacentral:rRNA from 1 species
UACGUAGGCAGCAAGCGUUGUUCGGAAUUACUGGGCGUAAAGAGUGUGUAGGCGGUGCUCCAAGUCUGGUGUGAAAUCUCCCGGCUUAACUGGGAGGGUGCAUUAGAAACUGGAAUGCUAGAGGAUGGGAGAGGUAAGCGGAAUUCCUGGUGUAGCGGUGAAAUGCGUAGAUAUCAGGAGGAACACCGAUGGCGAAGGCAGGUCUCUGGGCAUUAACUGACGCUGAGGAGCGAAAGCAUGGGGAGCGAACAGG